AGAGAAAAAAGCCAAGCUAAAAUCUGAAUCAUCCUCAUCCUCAUCCUCUGAAUCCAGUAGUGAUAGCGAACGUGGGGAGGUUAUUCACAUGAGCCGCUUCAGAGAUGAAACUAUUCCUGCCGCACUACCUCAAUUGCACCCACUUACUCAUCACCACCCAACUUCCACCCUACCAGUCUCCCCAACCCAAGAAUGCAACCCGAUGGAUUACACUUCAACACAUCAUGAAAAACGAUGCUGCGUU
rnacentral:lncRNA from 1 species